rnacentral:piRNA from 1 species
UGAGAGUGCGUUUUGGUCAUUUUGGGC